AGAAUGUAUUUAGGUGUGUUUUGC
rnacentral:siRNA from 1 species